rnacentral:rRNA from 1 species
UGCAAGUCGAGCGGAAACGACACUAACAAUCCUUCGGGUGCGUUAAUGGGCGUCGAGCGGCGGACGGGUGAGUAAUGCCUAGGAAAUUGCCUUGAUGUGGGGGAUAACCAUUGGAAACGAUGGCUAAUACCGCAUGAUGCCUACGGGCCAAAGAGGGGGACCUUCGGGCCUCUCGCGUCAAGAUAUGCCUAGGUGGGAUUAGCUAGUUGGUGAGGUAAUGGCUCACCAAGGCGACGAUCCCUAGCUGGUCUGAGAGGAUGAUCAGCCACACUGGAACUGAGACACGGUCCAGACUCCUACGGGAGGCAGCAGUGGGGAAUAUUGCACAAUGGGCGAAAGCCUGAUGCAGCCAUGCCGCGUGUAUGAAGAAGGCCUUCGGGUUGUAAAGUACUUUCAGUUGUGAGGAAGGGUGUGUAGUUAAUAGCUGCGCAUCUUGACGUUAGCAACAGAAGAAGCACCGGCUAACUCCGUGCCAGCAGCCGCGGUAAUACGGAGGGUGCGAGCGUUAAUCGGAAUUACUGGGCGUAAAGCGCAUGCAGGUGGUUCAUUAAGUCAGAUGUGAAAGCCCGGGGCUCAACCUCGGAACUGCAUUUGAAACUGGUGAACUAGAGUACUGUAGAGGGGGGUAGAAUUUCAGGUGUAGCGGUGAAAUGCGUAGAGAUCUGAAGGAAUACCAGUGGCGAAGGCGGCCCCCUGGACAGAUACUGACACUCAGAUGCGAAAGCGUGGGGGAGCAAACAGGAUUAGAUACCC